rnacentral:rRNA from 1 species
AUUGAACGCUGGCGGCAGGCCUAACACAUGCAAGUCGAACGAGUGGCGGACGGGUGAGUAAUGUCUGGGAAACUGCCCGAUGGAGGGGGACAACUACUGGAAACGGUAGCUAAUACCGCAUACCAUCGGAUGUGCACAGAUGGGAUUAGCGUGUAGGUGGGGUAACGGCUCACCUAGGCGACGAUCCCUAGCUGGUCUGAGAGGGUGCCCGGCCACACUGGAGCGGUGACACGGUACAGACUCCUACGGGUGGCAGCAGUGGGGAAUAUUGCGCAAUGGGCGCAAGCCUGAUGCAGCCAUGCCGCGUGUAUGAAGAAGGCCUUCGGGUUGUAAAGUACUUUCAGCGGGGAGGCGUUACUCGCAGAGAAAGCACCGGCUAACUCCGUGCCAGCAGCCGCGGUAAUAC